UAGGGAAUAUUGGGCAAUGGCCGAGAGGCUGACCCAGCCAUGCCGCGUGCAGGAAGAAGGCCUUCUGGGUUGUAAACUGCUUUUAUCAGGGAAGAAAACGCUCCUGCGGGAGUAACUGACGGUACCUGAUGAAUAAGCACCGGCUAACUCCGUGCCAGCAGCCGCGGUAAUACGGAGGGUGCAAGCGUUGUCCGGAUUUAUUGGGUUUAAAGGGUGCGUAGGCGGCCCAUUAAGUCCGUGGUGAAAUCCCAGGGCUCAACCCUGGAACUGCCAUGGAUACUGGUGGGCUUGAGUUCGGUCGAGGCGGGCGGAACUGGUGGUGUAGCGGUGAAAUGCAUAGAUACCACCAAGAACCCCGAUUGCGUAGGCAGCUCGCUAGGCCGAAAACUGACGCUGAGGCACGAAAGCGUGGGGAGCGAACAGGAUUAGAUACCCUGGUAGUCCACGCCGUAAACGAUGAGUACUCGAUGUUGGCAAUACACGGCCAGCGUCCAAGCGAAAAG
rnacentral:rRNA from 1 species